rnacentral:rRNA from 1 species
AGAGUUUGAUCAUGGCUCAGAUUGAACGCUGGCGGCAGGCCUAACACAUGCAAGUCGAACGGUAACAGGAAGAAGCUUGCUUCUUUGCUGACGAGUGGCGGACGGGUGAGUAAUGUCUGGGAAACUGCCUGAUGGAGGGGGAUAACUACUGGAAACGGUAGCUAAUACCGCAUAACGUCGCAAGACCAAAGAGGGGGACCUUCGGGCCUCUUGCCAUCGGAUGUGCCCAGAUGGGAUUAGCUAGUAGGUGGGGUAACGGCUCACCUAGGCGACGAUCCCUAGCUGGUCUGAGAGGAUGACCAGCCACACUGGAACUGAGACACGGUCCAGACUCCUACGGGAGGCAGCAGUGGGGAAUAUUGCACAAUGGGCGCAAGCCUGAUGCAGCCAUGCCGCGUGUAUGAAGAAGGCCUUCGGGUUGUAAAGUACUUUCAGCGGGGAGGAAGGGAGUAAAGUUAAUACCUUUGCUCAUUGACGUUACCCGCAGAAGAAGCACCGGCUAACUCCGUGCCAGCAGCCGCGGUAAUACGGAGGGUGCAAGCGUUAAUCGGAAUUACUGGGCGUAAAGCGCACGCAGGCGGUUUGUUAAGUCAGAUGUGAAAUCCCCGGGCUCAACCUGGGAACUGCAUCUGAUACUGGCAAGCUUGAGUCUCGUAGAGGGGGGUAGAAUUCCAGGUGUAGCGGUGAAAUGCGUAGAGAUCUGGAGGAAUACCGGUGGCGAAGGCGGCCCCCUGGACGAAGACUGACGCUCAGGUGCGAAAGCGUGGGGAGCAAACAGGAUUAGAUACCCUGGUAGUCCACGCCGUAAACGAUGUCGACUUGGAGGUUGUGCCCUUGAGGCGUGGCUUCCGGAGCUAACGCGUUAAGUCGACCGCCUGGGGAGUACGGCCGCAAGGUUAAAACUCAAAUGAAUUGACGGGGGCCCGCACAAGCGGUGGAGCAUGUGGUUUAAUUCGAUGCAACGCGAAGAACCUUACCUGGUCUUGACAUCCACAGAACUUUCCAGAGAUGGAUUGGUGCCUUCGGGAACUGUGAGACAGGUGCUGCAUGGCUGUCGUCAGCUCGUGUUGUGAAAUGUUGGGUUAAGUCCCGCAACGAGCGCAACCCUUAUCUUUUGUUGCCAGCGGUCCGGCCGGGAACUCAAAGGAGACUGCCAGUGAUAAACUGGAGGAAGGUGGGAUGACGUCAAGUCAUCAUGGCCCUUACGACCAGGGCUACACACGUGCUACAAUGGCGCAUACAAAGAGAAGCGACCUCGCGAGAGCAAGCGGACCUCAUAAAGUGCGUCGUAGUCCGGAUUGGAGUCUGCAACUCGACUCCAUGAAGUCGGAAUCGCUAGUAAUCGUGGAUCAGAAUGCCACGGUGAAUACGUUCCCGGGCCUUGUACACACCGCCCGUCACACCAUGGGAGUGGGUUGCAAAAGAAGUAGGUAGCUUAACCUUCGGGAGGGCGCUUACCACUUUGUGAUUCAUGACUGGGGUGAAGUCGUAACAAGGUAACCGUAGGGGAACCUGCGGUUG